GCGGAAUGCUUUACACAUGCAAGUCGAACGGCAGCAUAGAGAGCUUGCUCUCUGAUGGCGAGUGGCGAACGGGUGAGUAACAUAUCGGAACGUACCUAGUAAUGGGGAACAACUAAUCGAAAGAUUAGCUAAUACCGCAUACGACCUACGGGUGAAAGCAGGGGAUCUUCGGACCUUGCGUUAUUAGAGCGGCCGAUAUCUGAUUAGGUAGUUGGUGGGGUAAAAGCCUACCAAGCCGACGAUCAGUAGCUGGUCUGAGAGGACGAUCAGCCACACUGGAACUGAGACACGGUCCAGACUCCUACGGGAGGCAGCAGUGGGGAAUUUUGGACAAUGGGGGCAACCCUGAUCCAGCCAUUCCGCGUGAGUGAAGAAGGCCUUCGGGUUGUAAAGCUCUUUCGCAAGAGAAGAAAUCUUGCUAUUUAAUAAAUAGUAAGGAUGACGGUAUCUUGACAAGAAGCACCGGCUAACUACGUGCCAGCAGCCGCGGUAAUACGUAGGGUGCAAGCGUUAAUCGGAAUUACUGGGCGUAAAGCGUGCGCAGGCGGUUUUAUAAGUCAGAUGUGAAAUCCCCGAGCUCAACUUGGGAACUGCGUUUGAAACUGUAAGACUAGAGUGUGUCAGAGGGGGGUAGAAUUCCAUGUGUAGCAGUGAAAUGCGUAGAUAUGUGGAGGAAUACCAAUGGCGAAGGCAGCCCCUGGGAUAACACUGA
rnacentral:rRNA from 1 species